rnacentral:rRNA from 1 species
CUACGGGCGGCACCAGUGAGGAAUAUUGCACAAUGGGGGGAACCCUGAUGCAGCAACGCCGCGUGGAGGAUGACGCAUUUCGGUGUGUAAACUCCUUUUAUAUGUCAAGAAAAUGACGGUAGCAUAUGAAUAAGCACCGGCUAGCUCCGUGCCAGCAGCCGCGGUAAUACGGAGGGUGCAAGCGUUACUCGGAAUCACUGGGCGUAAAGGACGCGUAGGCGGGUUGGAAAGUCAGGUGUGAAAUCCUACAGCUUAACUGUAGAACUGCACUUGAAACUUCUAAUCUAGAGUAUGGGAGGGGGAGAUGGAAUUAGUGGUGUAGGGGUAAAAUCCGUAGAUAUCACUAGGAAUACCUAAAGCGAAGGCGAUCUCCUGGAGCAUUACUGACGCUAAGGCGUGAAAGCGUGGGGAGCAAACAGGAUUAGAUACCCUCGUAGUC